UCGAGCGGCGAACGGGUGAGUAACGCGUGGAUGACCUGCCCUUUAGUGGGGAACAACCAGGGGAAACUCUGGCUAAUACCGCAUGAGACCGAGAGGUGAAAGCGGGGUCGCAAGAUCUCGCGCUGAAGGAGGGGUCCGCGUCCGAUUAGCUAGUUGGUGGGGUAAUGGCCUACCAAGGCGACGAUCGGUAGCCGGCCUGAGAGGGUGAUCGGCCACACUGGAACUGAGACACGGUCCAGACUCCUACGGGAGGCAGCAGUGGGGAAUUUUGCGCAAUGGGCUAACGCCUGACGCAGCAACGCCGCGUGGAGGAUGAAGGUCUUUGGAUUGUAAACUCCUGUCAGCAGGGAAAAAGGGAGGCGGCCUAAUACGUCGUUGACUUGAUUGUACCUGCAGAGGAAGCCCCGGCUAACUCUGUGCCAGCAGCCGCGGUAAUACAGAGGGGGCAAGCGUUAUUCGGAAUUAUU
rnacentral:rRNA from 1 species